UGGCGCAUCUCAGGUCGAGGAAAUCAGCUUUAUAUUCAGCUGGACCUUUUCCAAUUUAUUCAGCAAAAUGGUCACCAGCACAGCGAAAUGGUCUCCAGCACAGGGAAAUGGUCACCAGCACAGCAAAAAGGUCACCAGCACAGCAAAAAGGUCACCAGCACAGGGAAAUGGUCACCAGCACAGCAAAAAGGUCACCAGCACAGGGAAAUGGUCACCAGCACAGCGAAAUGGUCACCAGCACAACAAAAAGGUCACCAGCACAGCGAAAUGGUCACCAGCACAACAUCCCCUCCUUCAGAUGGUUUUUUCAUUUCACAUUUUUUAACAAAAAAACAAAGACCUGGUAUGUAGUUCAGAA